rnacentral:rRNA from 1 species
AUUGAACGCUGGCGGCAUGCCUUACACAUGCAAGUCGAACGGUAACAGGUUAAGCUGACGAGUGGCGAACGGGUGAGUAAUGUAUCGGAACGUGCCCAGUCGUGGGGGAUAACUGCUCGAAAGAGCAGCUAAUACCGCAUACGCCCUGAGGGUGAAAGCGGGGGAUCGCAAGACCUCGCGCGAUUGGAGCGGCCGAUAUCAGAUUAGGUAGUUGGUGAGGUAAAGGCUCACCAAGCCGACGAUCUGUAGCUGGUCUGAGAGGACGAACAGCCACACUGUGACUGAGACACGGCCCAGACUCCUACGGGAGGCAGCAGUGGGGAAUUUUGGACAAUGGGCGCAAGCCUGAUCCAGCCAUGCCGCGUGCGGGAAGAAGGCCUUAGGGUUGUAAACCGCUUUUGUCAGGGAAGAAAAGGUUCUGGCUAAUACCUGGGACUCAUGACGGUACCUGAAGAAUAAGCACCGGCUAACUACGUG